rnacentral:tRNA from 1 species
GCUCAGUUGGUAGAGUACAAAGCUCUUAACCUUGUGGACAUGGGUUCGAGCCCCAC